GCCGCGUAUGCAAAGUGCAAGUUAUCUUGGCAAGUGAUAAGGGAGACACGCGAGUCGUGCAUAUCUCAGAGGAUAUAAGCAACGACACUUUGCCAGUGGUGCGGUCAGACCAAUGCGAAACAUACUGCGACGCGAGGUAUAAACAUCGUCCACGAGCCUCCUGGUUAUUUACAUAAUAUUUACGCAACUAUGGUUGCGCGAACCAUCCUUGCCAUAGUGCGCGUGGUUCGCGCUUGCGGUCCGCUUUACGCCGGAAUUCUGGUUGAAUUUCACCAGAUUCGGCCAAGAAGAAACCGACAGAAUCUGACUUUCUUCGGUGCAAAAGAAAAUCACGGGAAAAAGCGAGCAACACGCGGAGAAAGCCAGCAAUUUCGCAGUUUCUUCAACGUCUAUCACAGCGAGAAUCGGCGAACGAACUCGAAGCAACCGGACGCGGGUAGAGGAGCGAUUACUAACUCGGUAACGAGGCUUUCCCAGUUUACCAUCGUCAUGGGCAGCACGUUCGGUAGCGCGGCGUUUAGUCGACCCUUGGGUGUAUAAUCACGUCCGAGUUGCGGCGGCCAAUACAACCAGCUGCGUUGACUAGAUGAUUUACAACUAUUAGGCGACCGCUGGCCGACCGAGCGAGUGGAGUUCGCGCGCGCCAACCACCGGAAGAGAGAAACGCGCGCGAAUCGUCGCGCGAGAGCGUUGCACCUCUUUUCGCGACCCCGACGCGUC
rnacentral:misc_RNA from 1 species